GUAGGUGGCAAGCGUUGUCCGGAAUUAUUGGGCGUAAAGCGCGCGCAGGCGGUUCUUUAAGUCUGAUGUGAAAGCCCACGGCUCAACCGUGGAGGGUCAUUGGAAACUGGAGAACUUGAGUACAGAAGAGGAAAGCGGAAUUCCACGUGUAGCGGUGAAAUGCGUAGAGAUGUGGAGGAACACCAGUGGCGAAGGCGGCUUUCUGGUCUGUAACUGACGCUGAGGCGCGAAAGCGUGGGGAGCAAACAGGGAUUAGAUACCCUGGUAGUCCACGCCGUAAACGAUGAGUGCUAAGUGUUAGGGGGGUUUCCGCCCCCUUAGUGCUGCAGCUAACGCAUUAAGCACUCCGCCUGGGGAUACGGCCGCAAGGUUG
rnacentral:rRNA from 1 species